GGCUGGGUAGCUCAGCGGUAGAGCACACGUUUCAUAAGCGUUAGGUCGAGAGUUCGACUCUCUCCCCAGCCACAA
rnacentral:tRNA from 2 species